rnacentral:rRNA from 1 species
UACAGAGGUCUCAAGCGUUGUUCGGAUUCAUUGGGCGUAAAGGGUGCGUAGGUGGCGUCGUAAGUCAGGUGUGAAAUUUCGGAGCUUAACUUCGAAACUGCAUUUGAUACUGCGGUGCUUGAGGACUGGAGAGGAGACUGGAAUUUACGGUGUAGCAGUGAAAUGCGUAGAUAUCGAGAGGAACACCAGUGGCGAAGGCGGCUCACUGGACCACAACUGACGCUGAGGCGCGAAAGCUAGGGGAGCAAACAGG